UCCCCGUUGCCGGGGCAGUCUAGCUAGAAAAAUUCAACUAACUAUAAGGGUUGCGCUCGUUACUGGACUUAACCAUACAUCUCACGACACGAGCUGACGACGGCCAUGCAACACCUGUCACUGGAUUCCCGAAGGCACAGUCUCCUUUCAGAGACCUUCCCAGGAUGUCAAACCUUGGUAAGGUUCUUCGCUUAUCGUCGAAUUAAACAACACGCUCCACCGCUUGUGCGGGUCCCCGUCAAUUCCUUUAUGUUUUAAGCUUGCGCUCGUACUCCACAGGCGGGAUGCUUAACGCGUUAGCUUCGCUACUAGAAGGGUCGAUACUCCUAACAGCUAGCAUCCAUAGUUUACGGCGUGGACUAC
rnacentral:misc_RNA from 1 species